rnacentral:rRNA from 1 species
CAGUAGCCGCGGUAACACGAAGGGUGCAAGCGUUAAUCGGAAUUACUGGGCGUAAAGCGUGCGUAGGCGGUUUGUUAAGUCUGUUGUGAAAUCCCCGGGCUCAACCUGGGAAUGGCAGUGGAUACUGGCUCGCUAGAGUGUGUCAGAGGAUGGUGGAAUUCCCGGUGUAGCGGUGAAAUGCGUAGAGAUCGGGAGGAACAUCAGUGGCGAAGGCGGCCAUCUGGGACAACACUGACGCUGAGGCACGAAAGCGUGGGGAGCAAACAGGAUUAGAUACCCCCGUAGUCCCUGUCUCUUAUAC